CCCCCCCCCCCCCCCCCCCUUUUUAUAGCCAUGGCAACCUCUCUCUCUCUCUCUCCCUACAUUCAGAUUUCAGGGACUUCUCCAUUCAACUCAGAAAGAGAGAGGGAGAGAGAGAUAACAAGGGAGUUACUGCUGUUUGUUGGCUGUUCCGAAAAGCGUGCUUCAUUUUCUCGCUUUGUACAUUGGUGGAGCUUGUGUUGAAGCAAUUACAAGAUUAUGCAUCUGGGCUCUUUAUGGCUUUGAGACCGCUUGCUUUUUUGUUACUCUGUAUCCUUUAGUUAGAAAUUUUUUGGAUCUCCUAAAAAAAUUACAGUGUUGAAGUUAGAUCAAUGUCUUUGUUUCACCAUUUGUUUGUGAUGACAUGUUGUCACUAGAAUCAAUACUCAACUGUGAAUGACAAUUAAACUUUACCCACUUUCAAUUCUUUGCAAAAAAUGUCUGUGCUGUUGGUUAAGGUUUGUUCAAGGAUAUUUGGACUUCACAACUUUAUACUGCAUGAUUACCAUUCUCCCAGGAGAGGAAACGAAGGGGAGAAAAAAAGAAAAAAGAAAUCACGAUGCUGUGCUUCUGAUUUAAUAGAGGGCCUUGAUGGUUGAAGACUUGAAGUGAUCCUGGAUCACAAAUUCUGUUUCCUGACAAAUUCGCUAAUUCAAGUGAAAGGCAUAACAAGUGCGAAGCAACUCUCUUCCAUAAAGCAAGACAGCUGAUGGCUUCUGUCUGUUCAGUUGUUAUUUUUGUGCGUUAAAUUUGGUGCUUCCCAAGGACCCAAAAUUAUUUAUAAGACGGGAAGGAAGAAAACAUUAUGGCAACUCAAAGUAUCAAAGCUAAAGUUAAUAUUUGAUAUUCUACUUUUAUCCUUCUGCAGAGCUGGUACCUAUGCUGCAUGUGAUGAGAUCAACAAUGAGAUCCUUGUAACAGCUCUUCCUUGAACCCAGGAAGACAAUACUCAUGCACUGUGGAAAGAACAUUAUGAGUGUGGAGAGGGCACGCUCUGAUGACUGUCAGCAAACAAGUUAUAAGAAGAAUCAAGAUGUGUGCAUUUAGCAUUUGAUUAAAAAAUCUUGAAGUCUGAUUAAAAGUUUUAAUGCUGCAGAAACGUUGAAUAUAUCAAGGGAAAAUGACCUAAUUUCUCAAAUUGUGCAGUGAUGAUGAAGGUGGAAAAAGUUACUGAUGAUAUGGGAGGAGACUUGCAUUUUUUUUUUAAUGAAAUGGAGACUUGGAAUUGCAUGCGCACGCACGCACCCUGGAUUUUAGAUACUGGAUAUUUGUCACUCUGAUGGAGCGGUUAUAAAACAUCCUAGCAUUUUUCUUGCCUGGGCUUUUUAGGUUGUUGCCAUUGUUCUACGCGUUUGCUUUUACUUUCUGAGGCAAAUUAGGAAUAGUGAGCUUAUAAUCAAAGGGUUGUACUGAAAUCAGGUCACUAGUUUAACAUCACUAGGUCAUUGUGGAUUUACUUCCAUGUUUUAUCCUUAUUUGUUUCAUCUUUUGGAAGUUACUGUUAAUUUUAUACUUUGUUAUAGAAUUGAAUGAUGAACACAAAUAAUGU